rnacentral:rRNA from 1 species
GACGAACCGGACAAACGUUAUUCGGAAUUACUGGGCUUAAAGGGUUCGUAGGCGGCCCUGUAAGUGAGAUGUGAAAGCCCUCGGCUCAACCGAGGAAGUGCAUUUCAUACUGCAGGGCUUGAGGGAGACAGAGGUAAGCGGAACUGAUGGUGGAGCGGUGAAAUGCGUUGAUAUCAUCAGGAACACCGGUGGCGAAAGCGGCUUACUGGGUCUCUUCUGACGCUGAGGAACGAAAGCUAGGGGAGCGAACGGG